UGGGGAAUUUUGGACAAUGGGCGCAAGCCUGAUCCAGCAAUGCCGCGUGCAGGAUGAAGGCCUUCGGGUUGUAAACUGCUUUUGUACGGAGCGAAAAGGUCUGCCCUAAUACGGUGGGCUCAUGACGGUACCGUAAGAAUAAGCACCGGCUAACUACGUGCCAGCAGCCGCGGUAAUACGUAGGGUGCGAGCGUUAAUCGGAAUUACUGGGCGUAAAGCGUGCGCGGGCGGUUAUAUAAGACAGAGGUGAAAGCCCCGGGCUCAACCUGGGACCUGCAUUUGUGACUGUAUAGCUAGAGUACGGUAGAGGGGGAUGGAAUUCCGCGUGUAGCAGUGAAAUGCGUAGAUAUGCGGAGGAACACCGAUGGCGAAGGCAAUCCCCUGGACCUGUACUGACGCCCAUGCACGAAAGCGUGGGGAGCAAACA
rnacentral:rRNA from 1 species